AUGAGCAAAGCUCACCCUCUCAAGUUGAAAAAACUUAUGGACAAGAAGUUAUCAUUGAAGUUAAAUGGUGGCAGACAUGUUCAAGGAAUAUUGCAGAGAUUUGAGCCCUUUAUGAAUCUUGUGAUAGAUGGAUGCAUGUAGAUGGCAACUAGUGGGCAACAGAACAAUAUUGGAAAGGUGGUAAUACAAGGAAAGAGUAUCAUCAUGUUAGAAGCCUUGGCCGGGC
rnacentral:lncRNA from 1 species